UACGAAGGGGGCUAGCGUUGCUCGGAAUCACUGGGCGUAAAGGGUGCGUAGGCGGGUAAGUAAGUCCAUGGUGAAAUCUCUGAGCUUAACUCAGAAACUGCCGUGGAUACUAUUUGCCUUGAAUAUUGUGGAGGUGAGCGGAAUAUGUCAUGUAGCGGUGAAAUGCUUAGAUAUGACAUAGAGCACCAAUUGCGAAGGCAGCUCACUACACAAUCAUUGACGCUGAGGCACGAAAGCGUGGGGAUCAAACAGG
rnacentral:rRNA from 1 species